rnacentral:rRNA from 4 species
GUGGACCCGUGAUCCGGGUUGCGGACAGUGUCUGGUGGGUAGUUUGACUGGGGCGGUCUCCUCCUAAAGAGUAACGGAGGAGCACGAAGGUUGGCUAAUCCUGGUCGGACAUCAGGAGGUUAGUGCAAUGGCAUAAGCCAGCUUGACUGCGAGCGUGACGGCGCGAGCAGGUGCGAAAGCAGGUCAUAGUGAUCCGGUGGUUCUGAAUGGAAGGGCCAUCGCUCAACGGAUAAAAGGUACUCCGGGGAUAACAGGCUGAUACCGCCCAAGAGUUCAUAUCGACGGCGGUGUUUGGCACCUCGAUGUCGGCUCAUCACAUCCUGGGGCUGAAGUAGGUCCCAAGGGUAUGGCUGUUCGCCAUUUAAAGUGGUACGCGAGCUGGGUUUAGAACGUCGUGAGACAGUUCGGUCCCUAUCUGCCGUGGGCGCUGGAGAACUGAGGGGGGCUGCUCCUAGUACGAGAGGACCGGAGUGGACGCAUCACUGGUGUUCGGGUUGUCAUGCCAAUGGCACUGCCCGGUAGCUAAAUGCGGAAGAGAUAAGUGCUGAAAGCAUCUAAGCACGAAACUUGCCCCGAGAUGAGUUCUCCCUGAGACUUUAGGUCUCCUGAAGGAACGUUGAAGACGACGACGUUGAUAGGCCGGGUGUGUAAGCGCAGCGAUGCGUUGAGCUAACCGGUACUAAUGAACCGUGAGGCUUAACCUUACAACGCCGAAG